GGAGGACCCAAGCGUUAUCCGGAUUUAUUGGGUUUAAAGGGUGCGCAGGCGGGUUAAUAAGUCAAUGGUGAAAUCCCACAGCUCAACUGUGGAACUGCCGUUGAUACUGUUAGCCUUGAGUACAUUUGAGGCGGGCGGAAUGUGUCAUGUAGCGGUGAAAUGCAUAGAUAUGACACAGAACACCAAUUGCGAAGGCAGCUCGCUAAACUGUUACUGACGCUCAUGCACGAAAGCGUGGGGAUCAAACAGGAUUAGAUACCCUGGUAGUCCACGCCCUAAGCGAUGAUAACUCGCUGUUGGCGAUAAACUGUCAGCGGCUAAGCGAAAGCAUUAAGUUAUCCACCUGGGAAGUACGACCGCAAGGUUG
rnacentral:rRNA from 1 species